ACGGGUGAGUAACGCGUGGGUAACCUGCCUCAUACAGGGGGAUAACAGUUAGAAAUGACUGCUAAUACCGCAUAAGCGCACAGUGCUGCAUAGCACAGUGUGAAAAACUCCGGUGGUAUGAGAUGGACCCGCGUCUGAUUAGGUAGUUGGUGAGGUAAUGGCCCACCAAGCCGACGAUCAGUAGCCGACCUGAGAGGGUGACCGGCCACAUUGGGACUGAGACACGGCCCAAACUCCUACGGGAGGCAGCAGUGGGGAAUAUUGGACAAUGGGGGAAACCCUGAUCCAGCGACGCCGCGUGAGUGAAGAAGUGUUUCGGCAUGUAAAGCUCUAUCAGCAGGGAAGAAAAUGACGGUACCUGACUAAGAAGCCCCGGCUAACUACGUGCCAGCAGCCGCGGUAAUACGUAGGGGGCAAGCGUUAUCCGGAUUUACUGGGUGUAAAGGGAGCGUAGACGGCUCUGCAAGUCUGGAGUGAAAGCCCGGGGCUCAACCCCGGGACUGCUUUGGAAACUGUGGAGCUAGAGUGCAGGAGAGGUAAGCGGAAUUCCUAGU
rnacentral:rRNA from 1 species